rnacentral:rRNA from 1 species
CCUACGGGAGGCAGCAGUGAGGAAUAUUGGUCAAUGGACGAGAGUCUGAACCAGCCAAGUAGCGUGAAGGAUGACUGCCCUAUGGGUUGUAAACUUCUUUUAUAAAGGAAUAAAACGAGGCACGUGUGCCUUUUUGCAUGUACUUUAUGAAUAAGGAUCGGCUAACUCCGUGCCAGCAGCCGCGGUAAUACGGAGGAUCCGAGCGUUAUCCGGAUUUAUUGGGUUUAAAGGGAGCGUAGAUGGGUUGUUAAGUCAGUUGUGAAAGUUUGCGGCUCAACCGUAAAAUUGCAAUUGAUACUGUCGGUCUAGAGUACAGUUGAGGUAGGCGGAAUUCGUGGUGUAGCGGUGAAAUGCUUAGAGAUCACAAAGAAACCCGAUUGCGAAGGCAGCUUACCAAACUGUAACUGACAUUGAGGCUCGAAAGUGUGGGUAUCAAACAGGAUUAGAUACCCUUGUAGUC